ACACAGAAGGGAGGUGAUCCGGAGAAUGAGUUCUUUUCGGAUGAGUGAGGUGGCUGCCCGCUAAGGCAGCCCGGUCCGCCGACAGCUGCCGGCGAAUCCACUGCAGCCACCCGACCCGCAGGCUCCCGGUGUCAUCCGCCGGGGCCCCUCUUCAGGGGCAGCAGGCCUGCGGGUCGCUGCAU
rnacentral:sRNA from 1 species